GCCAAUCAGAGAUGGCUGGAAAAGUACUUCUGGGCAUCGGAAUCUCUCAGCUCCAAUCGUAAUCACCUGCCCAUCAGGUAGUUCAUAGCUUUUCUCAAUGGCCGAACUAGUCCUGGCUGUCUCCAGUUCUUGCUCAUAAUCAAGGGCCACAUAUGCAAGCUUCUCCUUCACAUCACGGACAAUUUCCCGCUCUGCCGUUGUCGUGAACAUGUAACCUCUUUCAGUAAGAAUUUUCAUCAAAGCAUCAGUCAAAUCACGACCAGCAAGGUCGAGACGUAGGAUUGCAUGAGGGAGUGAAAAGCCCUCGUAUAUAGGCACCGUGUGGCUCACUCCAUCACCAGAAUCCAACACAAUACCUGUUGUCCGACCACUGGCAUAGAGAGAUAAAACGGCCUGGAUUGCAACAUACAUAGCAGGUACGUCGAAGGUUUCAAACAUGAUCUGAGUCAUCUUCUCCCUGUUUGCCUUUGGGUUGAGUGGUGCCUCAGUAAGAAGUAUCGGAUGCUCUUCAGGAGCAACACGAAGCUCAUUGUAG
rnacentral:misc_RNA from 1 species